rnacentral:rRNA from 1 species
CAGUAGCCGCGGGAAUACGUAGGGUGCAAGCGUUAAUCGGAAUUACUGGGCGUAAAGCGUGCGCAGGCGGUUUGUUAAGACAGAUGUGAAAUCCCCGGGCUCAACCUGGGAACUGCAUUUGUGACUGGCAAGCUAGAGUCUGGCAGAGGGGGGUGGAAUUCCGCGUGUAGCAGUGAAAUGCGUAGAUAUGCGGAGGAACACCGAUGGCGAAGGCAAUCCCCUGGGCCUGUACUGACGCUCAUGCACGAAAGCGUGGGGAGCAAACAGGAUUAGAUACCCGCGUAGUCCCUGUCUCUUAUAC